AAAUUUUAGUGUGUGGUUAAGAGUUUGCUGGGAAAAUGGAUGGAGUCUGUCUGAAAAAUAGCUGGAAACGUUAAAAUGUCAGUGUCAGGUUUAUUUUACCUUUUACAAAAACACUUUCCCACUUGAACAUGGGGAUUCAUUGUAAAAGCAAACCUUCCGGUGGCUUUUUUAACAGCUUCUGUCAUGAUGCUCCGAAAUCUCUAUCUUCUAUGGUACUGAAAAGCAUGAAGAUCUCAACAGUGAUGAAAUGUGUCCGAGGAA
rnacentral:lncRNA from 1 species